rnacentral:snoRNA from 1 species
AACGUGGCUAAUGAUGCUGAACUUUUUUCCCCAUCUUAUCGACCAUGGAGAAUUUACACUGAACUAAGCCAGUUUGUCUGAAACCACGUU